rnacentral:lncRNA from 1 species
CUUGCAUAUUAAAUGGAAAUGCUCCGGUGAAGAAAAAUGGCUGGAAUGCUGGCGCCGGGCCUGCAUACGUCCCGUUCUGAGGCUCCAGAGACACCGGGGGCUUGGAUGGGACAGAGAACAGGGAGCGGUUCUGACUCACUGGUGGCUGACAGACAGGACCAGGUUUUGUGCUUUCUGGUGUUCUAAGUAUGGCAGAGGGGGCAGAAAUAUCACCAUUCUGGACCAAUGCCAAAGAGCUGUGGUCCCUAGGAAAGGCCCCUAGCAAAGGGGUUUCUGUGGGGGGGAGCAAUGGAGGUGAGCUAUCUGCAGGAGGUGACACUGGAGGUGGGGAGGGGCCCCCAUUCUGCAAUUGGGUGGACUGAGGGAUCUCCUCCUCCUCAUC